GUGCUGCUUAGUGGGGAAGGCUGUUGAGUAGAGCUCUCCAUCAUUAUGCCCUAUGCUCAAGCAUCUGAAGAAAUCUUUAUGUGCUUCUGUGCCCAACAUGAGAACUUUGAUCCUCAAGUGGCCCAAUUAACUGUGCAUUGCUCCAUUGCUGCUGAUGAUUACUGGCCCAGUUUGGAGAAACUGGAUGAGUAACUGUGGGUCCAGAUAGUCAUUUGUCUUUAUCCCUGAUGAUUGUAACUUAAAAGACCACAAGGUAUGCCUAAUAGUUUCGCUACUGUAUUUUUAACAAGCAGAUCAACACUUGAAACAUGAAAGGGGUUAUUUCAGUCAAUAAAUAAGACAUGAUACCCAUUUUUCUAUAUGGGGUGGGAGUGAGGUAGGAAAUAAAAAUAAAACAAUACUUGAAAGUUGAGAUAGACAUAUAAAAACUUAUAUAUACACAUUGUUGUAGCGAAGGUUUACAAGGGAAUAGACUUAAUACAGGACACAUAAUUUAUGGGAUUAUUUUAUAAUAUUCACCCCCCAAAAAAUCAAAUGCAGAAGCAUGCAAGAGAUCUGUCAGUGGAUUAGAG
ensembl:lncRNA